rnacentral:rRNA from 1 species
ACGGAGGGUGCUAGCGUUGUUCGGAAUCACUGGGCGUAAAGGGCGCGUAGGCGGCGGGUCAAGUCGGCUUUGUGAAAGCCCGGGGCUCAACCCCGGAGGUGCGGCCGAGACUGAUCCGCUGGAGGCCGGAAGAGGAGGGUGGAAUACCCAGUGUAGAGGUGAAAUUCGUAGAUAUUGGGUGGAACACCGGUGGCGAAAGCGGCUCUCUGGUCCGGACCUGACGCUGAGGCGCGAAAGCGUGGGGAGCAAA